AUUCCAAAAAUUGCUGAAAAAAACAUGACUCCACCAAAUAUGCUUGCAGAGUAAUUGAUAUUUCUUGAUAUCCAACUGUAAUGUAUUGCUCAUUAAUUCUACUCACACAGCUGGCACAAGGACUGUAGAAUCUGAUGGUUGAGAGGUGGUUUCAUAAGUAUUCCUAUUAGUUGUGUCUACUCUUUCCAUGGCUGGUGUAAGCCCUUGGUAUCUGAUAGUAAAGGAACUGUGCAUGGAUACUUAUCAUAAGUGCCCUUUUUACACAGUUCGCCCUGACCUGGUUGGGGAGCUGAGCACAUGUGGUACAGUCUAAAUGUGCCCCAACCUUACUACACAUAUUAGCCAUUCAAUGGUUUGAAUACCUUUCAGGCUUCUUGCCUCUUCCUAUCCUUCACUCAAGUGAAGAGUAUACCUGCCAUAGGGUGUUGCACCCCAUGGGCUUCUUUUUAGCACUCUCGAAUAGAGGAUCAUCUAGGUAAUUUCUGUACCAGUACCUCCACCAUCUCAGUGUGGGGUUCUAGCAGAGUUCAUAUGAUCCUUGAAAAUACUUGAAUAUCCUUGUACUUUGAAAUCACUUUUCAAGUCCUUGAAUGUACUUGAUUUUUUAGAAUUAUUGAUUGUAUCUUUGAAUAUACUUGAAUUUUGUGAAACUGAGAAUCAAACAAAAACUAAAUGUAUUUUUGUGCAGGUUCAUUGUGUUUUAUUUUUAUUUUGUGUGUGUUUUUUAUUUUAAAAAAAAGAACAUUAGAAGUUUUAGUACUCAGUGAGUGGGUGUGUCAUUUAGUAACUAAUGUGAGUGGUUGCCUUUGUUUUACAACUAAUACAGUGAAGCUUGCUUAAUUUGAACUGCUUGGGACCAGAGAAAACGUUUGAAUUAACCAAAUGUUUGAGAAAAUAUCAAGGAAGAUAGCUCCAUGUGUAGUCAGUUUUUAAAAAUCAAGGAAAGUAUGUACAUAUUAAGUUAUUUUUUACUCCUGGUUAUGUUCCUUGUCUACAAAAAUAACAUCCAAUCUCACAAGUCAUGUAUGUUAAGCAACAUAUGUACUAGAUAAAUAUGUAUUAAAACUUAAUGUGACAAGUGUACUUCAUAUAUUAACAUAGCAGAAAGGCCACAAAGUUAAGAAAAUGUGGAUUUUGGUAUUCCAUAUUUAGUGACAAUAGUUGUUUUGCUAUCUUUGCUUUUAUCUACUUCUUCCAACUUCCUUAACUUUGUUUUGAUAUUAAAAGUUUUGUACUGUCUUUUUGCCAUCGUUCUAUCAACUUCUAAAUCUGAGUUUGAACUCAAAUGAAUUUUAAUAAAGGUAGUAAACAACAAAGUUGAAGGCCAAUCAGAAAAAUAUAACCACUGUGCCAGUUGAAACUAACAUACUUUUAUCUGUACACAUGCCAAAUAGGUAUCAUUGAGUUGUGUGCAGAUAUUGCUUCCCACAAUAUGUCUAAGAAUUUGGUCCAAAAAACUCUUGGUAAAAGUUACACUAAUAUUUCAACUUAGAUUUGUAGGUAUGGUUAGAGGUACUUGUUCAAUUUAACAGAAGUUUGUGUUUUUUAGUGUGAAUUAGGCAUGUUUUUAAAACAUGCAAUAAAGCAGGAAAAAGUUAGAACUUUUCACUUGGUUCAAAUUAACCAGAAUUUCAAAUAAUCCUUACUUGUCUUAAGUGAACUCCACUGUACUUCCUUUUUAUGAAAGGUAACUACAUUGUUUCUUUUUGUGAAAAUUCAGUGCAGUGCAGUCAUUCAAAGUGAAAUCUACUUCAGGAAUCAUGAGCUGCCUCCACAAACGUGGGAAUUGCCAUUUUAACAAUGCAUGACUUGAUAGAAAAAAUAUGUGACUGGCUUAGAAAAGACAAUUCUCUUCACAAAGCUUAUUGCUUUCUAUGCAGGAAGCACACUGAUAUUUCUACUAUGGGCAAAUCAGCAUUAAACAGCAAAGCAAAAGGGGGAAAAACAUUUCAAACUUAUCAAGUCAAGUCAGCCUGCUAUUACAUUAGGUGCCUUUUUAACUCGGAAGACUUUUGCUACCAGUAAUCUUGAUCUAGCAACUAACUCUGAACUUGACCAAUUUGAACAGUUUCUCUGCAAGUGCAACAGAUGUGCUUAAAGCAGAAAUUUUAUGAACCCUAAAAAUAAUUACAAACCACUACAGUUUUCAUUCAUGUGAAAAUAUUUCUGAUCUUUUCAAGCUAAUGUUUCCAAACAUUUCAAUUUCUAAGCAGUAUAGCUGUGCAGAAGGCAAAGCAGUAUACCUUGGUACUUUUGGUAUAGCUCCACAUUUGAACAGAAAAUCAAAGUAAAUUCAUUUAUGCUAUUGUUUUAUAAAACCCAAAAGGAAGAUCAGCAGGAAAAAAUGGCUAGACAUCUACAUUCACUUUUUCUGUGAUGAUGAGGUUAAAACAUUUUAUUAUACAUAUAAAUUUAUUGAACAAGCUAAUGCAGAUGGUAGAUACAAAGAGAUAUCCAGUUCUAUCACAAUCUUUGACUUCAGACAUCUUCUGCAACUUUCAAUGGUUGGGCCUAAUGUGAACGUAAUAUUUUUAACAGAUUUUUCAAAGGAAAUUGAAUAGCAGACCAAUUGCAAUAUUCUAAACAUUGGGACCUGUGGACUGCAUAAACUGCACAAUGCCUUUCAAGCAGGAUGUGUUGCAGCUGAUUUGGAUGUGGAAAACACAAUUUCCAGUAUCUACAUUCUGUUGCAUGAUGCUCCUGCAAGACGACGGGAUUUUAAAGACGUAGCUGGCUGUUUUAUUUUCUUCCAAAGUUCUGCAAAUACAAAUUGACACUCGGUGAUGAAGGCAUGCAAACUUCCUGAUGUGUCAAGCGAUCGUUUAGCAUGGAAGGAGAGGUAAGUUUUCAAAAACUUAUAUAUGAUUCACAUAUCUGAAAUUGUUUUCUUUUUUAAACUAUAUUUAUUAAUACAUUUUCUAUGACUUUUACAGGUAUCUGCUAAAUGUCCCUACAUGGAAGACGAAGAUUUUAUCAUAAGAAAAUCUGCGAAUAGUAGAGUUAAAAGUAUGACGCAACAUCUACUACAUACAAUAUACCAUUUAAUCAUAAAACACAUGGACUCAUAAACGUUAUAGACACGCUUAAUAAGAACAUUCAAAACAUACUGGACGAUACAAUGAAACAACUAGACAAUAGAGAUAAAGUAAGAGUAUGUGUUUAUUCAGAUCAUCUGGAUAAACCAAUAAGUACAUGCUUACAGAAUAAGGAUCUUUUCUCACCUGAAAUCAUUUUAAUUACCAUCGAAAAAGUAAAUCAAAGUAAAAAAGACAUACCAUUAGACGAUUAAUUCAAAAUGUAAGUUAUUACAUUGGAAUAGUAAUUGGCUAUACUAAUAGCCUUAGCAUCGCUCAGAAAAGAUCCAAAAUAUAAUAGUAUUAGAGAUCAACGACAACCACUACUUUACACGUAUGGCUAAAGGCUUACAUACUUCGUUUAAUAUUCUAGAACGACCAUGCGGUAUAGAAGACAUUUCUAAAUUUGAACGUCAUCUAAAUGUUCAAAUACAUGUAGUAUCUUCAGAAAAUUUCAACCAAUAUAUAAAGGUUCUUCACGCCCAAACAAAAUUUACCUAUGGUACCAUGAUCACCAUUUCGACGUUAUAACAUCAAUGAAAGGUUUCCUCGGGGUAAAUUAUUACUGUUAAAGAUUGUAAUAAGCCAUUUGAGCAUUUAAAUGAAUGUCAUUGUUCUGAAUAUUGUAAUGUUUGUUAUAGUAAUGAAUUCUCGAAAGUUCAACACAGUUUUUUUCUGGUUGUAACAGAUUUUGCAAAUCUGCAGAAUGUUACAACAGACAUAAAUCAAAUAAUGGUAAACAAAUGAUAUCUUCAUGUGAUAAUUUUUACCAGUGUAAAAAUUAUUUUGUCAUUAUUGACAAAAUAAACGUAAUCCUGAAUUUCAUCGAUGUGGCGAAAUCAUAUGUGUAGGAUCUAAAUCGUAUGUCUUAAAUAACCAUUUAUAUUUUCUCCAGGAUAAAAAAAGUCCAAGAUUCGACGAAUAAAUACUUAUUUUUUUAUUUUGAGACUGAUUAGGAAACUAGAAUUCACGAGGUUAACUUCUGUGUGGAAACAGUUUUUAAAGGUUAUAAUUCAUUUAGCGAAAUUUGUAAAUUCUUAUUUUCGAAAGAACAUAAGAAUUAUACAGCUAUAGCACAUAAUAUGAUAGGUUUUGAUGAGCACUUUAUCUUGAAUUAUCUUAUUCAUCAAUGUAUAAAACCAGACAUUAUCUUAAAUGGUGGAAAAAGUAUGGUUGUGACCAUCAAAAGCCUCACAAUUAGAAUAAUUGAUUAGUUACAAUUUCAUACUCAUAUUAUUAUUAUUGUUUCCAAGAACUUUUAGAUUAGGAGAACUACAGAAAUGAUAUUUCCCUUAUCUUUUCAAUAUAAAGUCAAAACAGGAAUAUCGAGGACCUAUACUGGAUUAAAUUUUUUAUUCUUCCGACACCAUGUCAGUACCCAUAAGACAAAAGUUUCUGGAUUGGCAUUGUCAGCGACGAGAGGAAGAAUACAUCUUUGACUUUCAAGAAGAGAUGUACGGAUACUGCCGAUCAGACAUAGAUAUACUUCGUUGGGGCUAUCUUCAAUUUGGAGAAGAGUUUCUUGCAACCUGUGAUGCAGAUCCCUUCAGAUACACGACCAUUGCUUCUGUAUGCAUGGCUGUAUACAGUAGCAAAUUUAUACCACCACGAUUGAUAGCUAUCAUACCUAAUCACGGAUAUUUUAUGAGCAACAAUUACAGCCAAGGACCAUACAGUAGUUUCCCGCCUGGAUGUACGAGACUUUUAUACGACAUUAAAGGAGAAAAGAUCAAGUACGUGAGUAUAAAAAUCGCUAUAUCCAUGGGCAAACAAAUAUUGUGAUUAUCCAAUAAUAACAACAAGUUUCUCUAAUUUAGAAAAUUAUUUUGGUUUUUAUAAAAUGUAAAAUUCUAACCCCGAGGAAACUCUAUCAUCCAGUUUUACAAUUUUGAUGUAAUGGUAAAUUAACCUUUCCAUUAUGUGGAUCAUGUGUGGAAUCUAGAUCACUGCUAUAGCGAUGACAAGAGAUCUUUCAUCGGUAUCUUGGUCACAGAAUAAAUAUACAAAGCCGUCGAAUGUGGAUACCAGGUAAUAAAAAUAUAUGAUAUUUAUCAUUUUCCUCUCAAAUCUAGACAUCCUUUUAGAACUUCGUCGAUAAGUUUCUUAAAUUAAAGCAAGAAAGUUCUGGUUGGCACUCUCAUUGUAUAACAUCGGAGGCAAAGCAGUAUUAUGUUGACCAAUAUAACGAAAAUGAAGGAGUGCAACUGAAUCCUGAAAAUAUUGUUUUUAAUCCAGGAAAAAGGUCAGUUGCAAAAUUGAUCGUGGAGAAUAAGUGAUCAGUGGAAGAUCCAUCCCAAAACAGUAUCAUAAUAGACCUAGUCAAUGAUGUGUCACAAAAACGAAAUAAUUUUAACCCUAUAGGAUGGAAAGAAUUUGCAGAAGGAUUAUCAUAUAUGAAUAUUCUCCAAGAAGCUGUUGGAAAUGUAAAUGUACUGUAUCUAAAUGGGAUAAUUUAAAAUAAAGUAUUAUUGUAUUAUUCA